rnacentral:rRNA from 1 species
GUCUUUUUGAUUAUAAUUUAAAGUCUGGCCUGCCCAAUGAGUAAUUGAAUGGCCGCAGUAUUUUGACUGUGCAAAGGUAGCAUAAUCAUUAGUUUCUUAAUUAGAAACUGGAAUGAAAGGUUGAACGAGAAAAUAACUGUCUCAUUAUAAUUUAUUUAGAAUUUUAUUUUUAAGUUAAAAAGCUUAAAUUAGUUUAAAAGACGAGAAGACCCUAUAGAGUUUUAUAUUUACUGGAUUAGUUUUAUUUAUUGAAUUUUAUUUAUGCUAUUUUAUUAAAUAUUUGGUUGGGGUGAUUAAAAAAUUUAUUUAACUUUUUUUAAAUUUAUACAUUAAUUUAUGAAUUUAUGAUCCAAUAUUUUUGAUUAUAAGAUUAAAUUACCUUAGGGAUAACAGCGUAAUUUUUUUUAAGAGUUCUUAUCGAUAAAAAAGUUUGCGACCUCGAUGUUGGAUUAAAAUUUAAUUUUGGUGUAGAAGCUAGAAUAAUAGGUCUGUUCGACCUUUAAAAUUUUACA